rnacentral:rRNA from 1 species
AUACGAACCGUACGAACGUUAUUCGGAAUCACUGGGCUUAAAGAGUGCGUAGGCGGCUUGGAAAGUUGGGUGUGAAAUCCCUCGGCUCAACCGAGGAAUUGCGCCCAAAACUGUCAAGCUUGAGGGAGAUAGAGGUAAGCGGAACUAAUGGUGGAGCGGUGAAAUGCGUUGAUAUCAUUAGGAACACCUGAGGCGAAAGCAGCUUACUCGGUCUCUUCUGACGCUGAGGCACGAAAGCUAGGGGAGCGAACGGGAUUAGAUACCCUAGUAGUCC